CUGGCGGCGUGCCUAAUACAUGCAAGUCGAACGGUCUUUCUAUGGAAGCUUGCUUCCACUGAGAAGAUAGUGGCGAACGGGUGAGUAACACGUGGGUAACCUGCCCAUAAGAGGGGGAUAACAUCCGGAAACGGGUGCUAAUACCGCAUAGUUUUCUUGAUCGCAUGAUCGGGAAAGGAAAGACGGCCUUUGUGCUGUCGCUUAUGGAUGGACCCGCGGCGUAUUAGUUAGUUGGUGAGGUAACGGCUCACCAAGGCGAUGAUACGUAGCCGACCUGAGAGGGUGAUCGGCCACAUUGGGACUGAGACACGGCCCAAACUCCUACGGGAGGCAGCAGUAGGGAAUCUUCCGCAAUGGACGAAAGUCUGACGGAGCAACGCCGCGUGAGUGAAGAAAGGUUUUCGGAUCGUAAAACUCUGUUGUCAGAGAAGAACAAGUUGGAGAGUAACUGCUCCAGCCUUGACGGUAUCUGACCAGAAAGCCACGGCUAACUACGUGCCAGCCGCUGC
rnacentral:rRNA from 1 species